rnacentral:rRNA from 1 species
AUUGAACGCUGGCGGCAGGCCUAACACAUGCAAGUCGAGCGGAUGAAGGGAGCUUGCUCCUGGAUUCAGCGGCGGACGGGUGAGUAAUGCCUAGGAAUCUGCUUGGUAGUGGGGGAUAACGUCCUGAAACGGGCGCUAAUACCGCAUACGUCCUGAUGGAGAAAGUGGGGGAUCGUCGGACCUCACGCUAUCAGAUGAGCCUAGGUCGGAUUAGCUAGUUGGUGGGGUAAAGGCCUACCAAGGCGACGAUCCGUAACUGGUCUGAGAGGAUGAUCAGUCACACUGGAACUGAGACACGGUCCAGACUCCUACGGGAGGCAGCAGUGGGGAAUAUUGGACAAUGGGCGAAAGCCUGAUCCAGCCAUGCCGCGUGUGUGAAGAAGGUCUUCGGAUUGUAAAGCACUUUAAGUUGGGAGGAAGGGCAGUAAGUUAAUACCUUGCUGUUUUGACGUUACCAACAGAAUAAGCACCGGCUAACUUCGUG